CUACGGAGGUUGCAAGCGUUGUUCGGAAUUACUGGGCGUAAAGCGCGCGUAGGUGGUCUGUUAUGUCAGAUGUGAAAGUCCACGGCUCAACCGUGGAAGUGCAUUUGAAACUGGCAGACUUGAGUACUGGAGGGGGUAGUGGAAUUCCCGGUGUAGAGGUGAAAUUCGUAGAUAUCGGGAGGAAUACCGGUGGCGAAGGCGACUACCUGGCCAGAUACUGACACUGAGGUGCGAAAGCGUGGGGAGCGAACAGGAUUAGAAACCCGGGUAGUCC
rnacentral:rRNA from 1 species